UUCAAUGGAAGGAAAGCGGUGAGAGGCGGAGAGGGCGGGGGACCUUUGGGCGGUGCGAUGGUGGCGUGGGAGGCGGUGAAAAAGAUCAACGUUUUUUUCAACUUUAUUCAAAUCGCUAGCGGCGACCGCUGGGCUAUGACAAAUCAUAUCGAUUGGUUCCCAUGACGAAUUUGACUCCAUGCGACCCAAGGCUGGAGACUUUCUUCAGCAAAGAUGGCUGACAAAAAUGCUAUGAUGGAAGCACAUGGCCUCCUGAAACAACCAGCAAACCAGGCUGUCGUCUUGUGAAACAUGUAAUUGUCAAUACCUUCUGAUGUAAAGAAUCUAGCUAGCUAAAGCAUUUACUGCAAAUUGAAUGUACAAUUUUGUAUGCUUGCCUUGCUGAUAUUUGCCAUGCAAUGGAGAUAGAUGAAACAACGUAGCUAGCUAUGUUCUUGUUUAUUGUGCAGUGGAGGAUUUAAAAAAAGACCUGUAAUGCCUAUGGAAAAAGACCUGUAAUGCCUAUGGAAAAAGACCUGUAAUGCCUAUGGAAAAAGACCUGUAAUGCCUAUGGAAAAAGACCUGUAAUGCCUAUGGAAAAAGACCUGUAAUGCCCAUGGAAAAAUACCUGUAAUGCCUAUGGAUGUGUAGCUAGUUAUGUAGCCGAUCUGUGUAUGGUCCAUAAAACAUUUGGUAUACAUAUUAGUUCAGAACCUAGCUAUGAACCUCAGCUAUCAUAACCAGUUCUAUCAACUUCAAAACAGUCUGAAUGACAUUAAUGAAACCCAUGGAUUACCAAAGUCUAAUGGUUUUAAAUGACUGCUUUGAAUUGUCUAGAAACUCACUUGUAGAUUUUGCUUGCAGUAGGUCUCUUAAAAAAGAGAAGCCGUGCAAGGUUAUUAAACAGAUGUGCCUAGUUAUUAUUCUUUUGUUGAUAUCAGGUAACGUGCAACCUAAGCCUGGCCCUGAUAUGCAAUGUCUCCAAACGCCCUCUGAUUUAAAUCAAGAUCUGGUUUUGGUAUUUUUCAUUUAAAUGUACACAGCCUGUUGUCAAAAAUUGAUGGGGUUAGGAUUUGGGCUAAAUCAACUGAUGCUGAUGUAAUUGUGUUUUCUGUUUUUGAUAAUGAUAUUUGUAUUAUGGGUUACAAUGUUUAUCGCACUGAUCGAGUUAAGAAAGGUGGGGGUGUGGCUAUAUAUGUAAAAACAAAAUUCCCUGUAAGUGUGGCAAAGUCUGAAACUAUUUGUAAACAGUUUGAAUAUUGAGGUUUCAAAGGGCUUCUCUAUAACUGUGAUUGGCUGUUAUAGAACCCCCUCUGCUCUCGGUGAUGCAUUUUCUUCUCAACUGGUGUUGGUUAAAGCCGGUGUCUGAUGAUUUAAAAAUGUUUUGUAAUUCUAUGAAUCUUACCCAGUUGAUUAACUCGCCCAAAUCUUAAAUGCCCAAAAAAAUCUACCCUGAUUGAUUUGAUAUUGACAAAUGUUCCACAUAAAUAUUCUGUGGUUGGUGUUUUUUGUAAUGAUUUAAGUGACCAUUGUGCUGUUGUUGCUGUUAGAAAUACUAAGGUCCCAAAGACAAACCCAUGUUUUAUUCGUAAGAGAAAUUUGAAGUGUUUUAAUGAGCAGGCUUUCUUUCAUGAUUUGUUUUAUUUAAAACUGGAGCACGAUUGAGCUUAUCCCUGA